rnacentral:rRNA from 1 species
AUUGAACGCUGGCGGCAGGCCUAACACAUGCAAGUCGAGCGGAGCGGCGGACGGGUGAGUAAUGCCUAGGAAUCUGCCUGGUAGUGGGGGAUAACGUCCGGAAACGGGCGCUAAUACCGCAUACUAUCAGAUGAGCCUAGGUCGGAUUAGGUAGUUGGUGGGGUAAAGGCCUACCAAGGCAACGAUCCGUAACUGGUCUGAGAGGAUGGUCAGUCACACUGAGACUGAGACACGGUCCAAACUCCUACGAGAUGCAGAAGUGGGAAAUAUUGGACAAGAGGCGGAAGCAUGAGCCAGCCAUGCCGCAUGAGUGAAGAAAGUCUUCGGAUUGUAAAGCACUGUAAGUUGGAAGGCGUUGCCAACAGAAUAGACACCGACUAACUUCGUGCCAGCAGCCGCGGUAAUAC